GAUGAACGCUAGCGGCAGGCCUAAUACAUGCAAGCCGAACGGUAAGUUGAGUAGCAAUACUUGACCUAGAGUGGCGUAAGGGUGCGUAACACGUAUGCAAUCUACCCGCAACAGGAGGAUAGCUCGGGGAAACUCGAAUUAACACUCCAUAAGAUCACAUUGUGGCAUCACAGAGUGAUUAAAACUACGGUGGUUGCGGAUGAGCAUGCGUUUGAUUAGUUAGUUGGUGAGGUAACGGCUCACCAAGACGAUGAUCAAUAGGGGAACUGAGAGGUUGAUCCCCCACACUGGCACUGAGAUACGGGCCAGACUCCUACGGGAGGCAGCAGUAGGGAAUAUUGGACAAUGGGUGCAAGCCUGAUCCAGCCAUGCCGCGUGCAGGAAGAAGGCCUUCUGGGUUGUAAACUGCUUUUGCCAGGGGAUAAAAUUUCUUUGCGAAGAAAAUUGAAGGUACCUGGUGAAUAAGCCACGGCUAACUACGUGCCAGCAGCCGCGGUAAUACGUAGGUGGCAAGCGUUGUCCGGAUUUAUUGGGUUUAAAGGGUGCGUAGGCGGUUCCAUAAGUCAGUGGUGAAAUACAAUAGCUUAACUAUUGAGGUGCCAUUGAUACUGCGGAACUUGAGUACAGACGAGGUAGGCGGAAUUGACGGUGUAGCGGUGAAAUGCUUAGAUAUCGUCAAGAACACCGAUAGCGAAGGCAGCUUACUAGACUGUAACUGACGCUGAGGCACGAAAGUGUGGGGAUCAAACAGGAUUAGAUACCCUGGUAGUCCACACUGUAAACGAUGAUUACUCGAUGUUGGCGAUACACAGCCAGCGUCUUAGCAAAAGCGAUAAGUAAUCCACCUGGGGAGUACGCCCGCAAGGGUG
rnacentral:rRNA from 1 species